rnacentral:rRNA from 1 species
CCCUUAGACGUUCUGGGCCGCACGCGCGCUACACUGACCAGUGCAACAAGCAUCCGUCCUUGGCCGAUAGGUCUGGGUAAUCUUUGAACGCUGUUCGUGAUUGGGAUAGACCUUUGCAAUUAUGGGUCUUCAACGAGGAAUUCCUAGUAAACGCAAGUCAUCAGCUUGCAUUGAUUACGUCCCUGCCCUUUGUACACACCGCCCGUCGCACCUACCGAUUGAAUGGUCCGGUGAAAUCUCGGGACGGCGGCUUGGUCGCUUGCGUCCGACUGCUGAAACUUGAUUAAACCAUNUNAUUUAUNGGAAGGUGAANUCGUANCA